GAUGAACGCUGGCGGCGUGCCUAAUACAUGCAAGUCGAGCGGACACAUGAGAAGCUUGUUCCCCUGACGUUAGCGGCGGACGGGUGAGUGACACGUGGAUAACCUACCUCUAAGACUGGGAGAACUUCGGGAGACCAGAGCUAAUACCGGCUCAUAUAUUGAACCGCAGGGUUCAAUAGUGAAAGGCGGUUUUGCUGUCACUAAUAGAUGAAUCCGCGCCGCAUUAGCUAGUUGGUAAGGUAACGGCUUACCAAGGCAACGAUGCGUAGCCGACCUGAGAGGGUGAUCGGCCACACUGGAACUGAGACACGGUCCAGACUCCUACGGGAGGCAGCAGUAGGGAAUCUUCCACAAUGGGCGAAAGCCUGACGGAGCAACGCCGCGUGAGUGAUGAAGGUCUUCGGGUCGUAAAGCUCUGUUAUUAGGGAAGAACAAAUGCGUAAGUAACUAUGCACGUCUUGACGGUACCUAAUGAGAAAGCAACGGCUAACUACGUG
rnacentral:rRNA from 1 species